rnacentral:SRP_RNA from 1 species
AGACUGGUGGUGGACGAGUUCCUCGCCAACCUGGUCAGGUCCGGAAGGAAGCAGCCACAACGAGUUUCUGCUCGGGUCACCUCAAGCCAGUCUUCC